rnacentral:siRNA from 1 species
CUCAUAUGGACUUUGGCUACACCA